UCCGGGUUUCGCCCGGCAGUCUCCCUAGAACAUUCAACUAAGGACAGGGGUUGCGCUCGUUGCGGGACUUAACCCAACACCUCACGACACGAGCUGACGACAGCCAUGCACCACCUGUGAACCUGCCCCGAAGGGAAGACGUGUUUCCACGCCGGUCAGGCACAUGUCAAGCCCUGGUAAGGUUCUUCGCGUUGCAUCGAAUUAAACCACACGCUCCGCUGCUUGUGCGGGCCCCCGUCAAUUCCUUUGAGUUUCAACCUUGCGGUCGUACUCCCCAGGCGGGGUACUUCCUGCGUUAGCUGCGGCACUGAUCGGGUCAAUCCGACCAACACCUAGUUCACAACGUUUAGGGCGUGGACUAC
rnacentral:misc_RNA from 1 species